AGACUACCAGGGAUUCCCCUAGUAAUGGCGAAUGAACAGGGAAAAGCCCAACUUUAAAAUCACUUUACGGUGAAUUGUAGUUUAUAAGAGGGUAGAACUAUGCUGCCUUGCCUUAAGUUUCUUGAAAAAGAACUACAGAGAGGGUGAAAUACCCGUUUUGGUGCAAGUAGUAGUAUAGAACUUAACUCUAAAGAGUCAUGUUGCUUGGGAAUGCAGCAUAAAGUGGGAGGUAAAUUCCUUCUAAGGCUAAAUACUGGUAGGAGCCCGAUAGUAAACAAGUACCUUAAGGGAAAGAUGAAAGAGAACCUUGAAAAGGGUCUCAAAAGAAAGUGAAAUUGUUAUAAGGAAAGCGCUUAAAACUUCUGGAAUCUAUAUAUUAAUAUAUGGGGAAGCAAUUCUCUUGUUAUUAAUAUGUGGGUGACUAUUGCUCGGGUUUGAGCUUAUGAAAUUUUUAAAGUAAGGUAAGUUGGAUUUCGGUCUAACUUCUUACAGACUUUUUAAAUUUCUAAAGUUUGGGCCAGUGUAGAAAGUCAUAUGGUAGCUAGCUCUUGACAUAAAUAGAAUAAUAGAUUUAUCUAGCGUUUUGUUUGUUUUAAGGUCUAGUACUGCUAAAUGCUUUAAUAGUUAAGAAGGUUUAAGCGACCCGUCUUGAAACACGGACCAAGGAGUCUAACAUGUAUGCAAGUAUUAUGGUGUAAAACCAGUAUGCACAAUGAAAGUAAUUUCAAGGUAGGAUCCCGCAAGGGUGCACUAUCGACCGAGCUAAAGAGAUUUUUUUCUUUGGUUUGAGUAAGAGCAUAUAUGUUGGUACCCGAAAGAUGGUGAACUAUGCCUGAAUAGGGUGAAGCCAGGGGAAACCCUGGUGGAAGCUCGUAGCGAUUCUGACGUGCAAAUCGAUCGUCAAAUUU
rnacentral:rRNA from 1 species